AGUAAUUCAUAAAGAUCAGAUAGAAGAUGGAAAGGUCAAAAGUAAGUAUUUCAUUGUUUUUUUGUUAAUUAUGUUUUUAUUAAAUAAUUUAUAUAAUGCAGUUUUCAAUAGAAAUUCAAACGAAAUUACGAAAAACAAAAUAAUGUUUAUAUUACCUAUAGAAUUAUAACUUUGAAGACUAAUCCUUAAGAUAUAAGCAUAAAUGCAUAAUAUUAUUCAAGUAAACUUUCAUGGAUAAUUCGUAAAUGUCCAAGCUUCAUCAUUAUGUUAUAUUAAUAUAUAUAUAUAUGUAUGUAUAAGUAGACGUAGGUAUAUAGUAUUAUAAAUAAUACAUAUUUUUGCAUACAACAUUUUCAUGAUCACUGAAUCCAAUAGCGGAUCCGCUGCAGGGUCAGAUACUCGGAUAAGGUGGGCUCCCGUGACCUCUUCUGAGCCCAUUGUUUUUAAUAAGAAAUAUAUAACUUAACUUAACUUGCAGUAGUGCAAUUGAUCCUAAAAAACGUCUUAUACUCAUUACUUGUACUAAUUAUACCAUUAUAGUGCACCGCUCACACUAAAUAAAUAUACAAAACCCUAAAAAAAACGGACGUGCCCUGCCCUGAUUGUAGGUAACUAUUACAAAAAUAAUAUGACAUGAUAAGAGUAUUAUGGGUGAAGAACCGUGGGUGAAGUUGGUAAACAGUGAUACCACUUUGUGUUUUUAUUUUAUUCUUUCCUGACAACUGAAGAAUGUCACAAUAUAAUAUUUUGCUACAAAUUGUUUGUAAAUAUAUCUUUUUAAUCCCAGUUAUUGUAAAUAUGACAUGAAAUUAAGGAAUAUUCCAUUAUUUAGGAACCAAAUUGUAUAAUUCAUUAAAAACAAUGAGUUGAAAAAAUAAUCUCCAAAUAAAUAUUUAAAAUUGUGAAAAUUCCUUAUAAACCAUAAGUUAGAAUAGUAACAAAUAACAAUAAUAAUAUAAAAAUAUUUUUUUUCUAGUAAUUCCUAAAGAUCAGAGUACGUAAAUAUUAUUUUUUUUUGAACGAAUUAUAUGUUUCAUAAUUUUAUAUGUGCUAAAUCAAAUUGGUUUGCUCGGAACUAAAAGGUGCUAAAUUGAUUUUUUUAUUAAAAUCAACUUUAUAUAUAAUAUAUUGUAAUGGUACACAUCAUUCAUACUAAAACAGUCAUUCUCAAGGGUAAUAACAAACGUGUCACUCGGAUAUGUCCAACAUAAAGUUGUUAUUCUCAGAAGUGAAACUGUUGCCUCGUGCGAGUGAUACGGUUUGCCAGAUGUGGUUUUGUAUCUGUUAUGGUUACCCCAUAUUUUAGAGCAGUAAAAAUGCUUUGACCUUUAAAUUGUAGAGUGAUUACCUACUGGUUUCUGAUAAAAAUUUGGAUUAUGUGGUUAUUUGAGGGAAAAAAUGGGUGGAUAAAAAUAUUGGAGUGUACCUACUAAAUAAAUACAACAAAAAUACAAAAAAAAAAAAAAACAAUACAAUACGAGGAAUUUGGUCUGCUGCAAAAUAGUAGGUUU